rnacentral:rRNA from 1 species
GGGGAAUAUUGGACAAUGGGCGAAAGCCUGAUCCAGCAAUGCCGCGUGAGUGAUGAAGGCCUUAGGGUUGUAAAGCUCUUUUACCCGGGAUGAUAAUGACAGUACCGGGAGAAUAAGCCCCGGCUAACUCCGUGCCAGCAGCCGCGGUAAUACGGAGGGGGCUAGCGUUGUUCGGAAUUACUGGGCGUAAAGCGCGCGUAGGCGGCUAUUCAAGUCAGAGGUGAAAGCCUGGUGCUCAACACCAGAACUGCCUUUGAAACUAGAUAGCUAGAAUCACGGAGAGGUCAGUGGAAUUCCGAGUGUAGAGGUGAAAUUCGUAGAUAUUCGGAAGAACACCAGUGGCGAAGGCGACUGACUGGACGUGUAUUGACGCUGAGGUGCGAAAGCGUGGGGAGCAAAC